CGCCUCUCACUAAGAGCAAAGCCUCCUACUUAAACCAUUCACACAGCAAUCUUAAGGUAAACAUAAUUUAUGCAAAAGCAAUUUGGAAUUUUUUAUUUUAGAAAAAAAAAAUAACAGAACAAAAAUCGAAGAAAAUGAAGAGCGAGAGAUCCUAGAUGAAGAGCUAUUUGUCAAACCGACAAAGCAAAAUUAGAAGCUCAAAGUCACCGAGCCAAAUGUCAGAUCAAUUCCCUACAAUCAAAUUCACCCAGCAAAUGGUAUCAUCACAGCCUCAAAUACACAUACACAGACAGAUAUACUGCUGAAUUUAGGGAAACUUUAAUUUUAUAUUUUUUAGAAAAAUAUUUUCCAAGAAAACAAACAAGGCCCAAACAGAAACAGAGAAAUCUAUAGAAAGAGAAGGCUCAGAUCAGAUAUGCCUUCAAAUCAGACAGGACAUAAACACCACAACGCCAUGGCUGCAACAACAAAAAGUUGCCUCGCCAAGAAAUUGAGUAUUUCUCCUCGAAUCUGAUUUUCAGGCUCACUGAAUAUAUAUCAUCAUAGCCUCGCCAGUCGCCAAACAGCCACUCACACACAAGAAAGAAAACAGAUAUAUUGGUAUAAGGGCUGUUGCCAACAUAAGAAACAUAAUCAGUAGUCAUAAUCAGUAGUCACCGGCUCCACUACCUAUCAGAGAGGACAGUGUCAACCACCCUGAACCCAACCGCCUCUCACUGAGAGCAAAGCCUCAUACUUAAACCAUUCACGCAGCAAUCUUAAGGUAAACAUAUUUUAUGCAAAAGCAAUUGGGAAUUUUUUAUUUUAGAAAAAAAAAAUAAAGAAAAAAAAAAUAACAGAACAAAAAUUGAAGAAAAUUAAGAGCGAGAGAUCCUAGACGAACAGCUAUUUGUCAAACAGACAAAGCAAAAUUAUAAGCUCAAAGUCACCAAGCCAAAUGUCAGAUCAAUUCCCUACAAUCAAAUUCACCCAGCAAAUGGUAUCACCGCAGCCUCAAAUACACAUGCACAUACACAGACAGAAUUUAGGCAAACUUUAAUUUUAUAUUUUUUAGAAAAACAUUUUCCAAGAAAACAAACAAGGCCUAAACAGAAACAGAGAAAUCUAUAGAAAGAGAAGGCUCAGAUCAGAUAUGCCUUCAAAUCAGACAGGACAGAAACACCACAACACCAUGGCUGCAACAACAAAAAGUUGCCUCGCCAAGAAAUUGAGUAUUUCUCCUCAAGUCUGAUUUUCAGGCUCACUGAAUAUAUAUCAUCAUAGCCUCGCCAGUCGCCAAACAGCCACUCACACACAAGAAAGAAAGCAGAUAUAUUGGUAUAAUGGCUGUUGCCAACAUAAGAAACAUAAUCAGUAGUCACCGGCUCCGCUACCUAUCAGAGAGGACAGGGUCAACCACCCUGAAACCAACCGCCUCUAACUGAGAGCAAAGCCUCGUACUUAAACCAUUCACACAGCAAUCUUAAGGUAAACAUAUUUUAUGCAAAAGCAAUUGGGAUUUUUUUAUUUUAGAAAAAAAAUAACAGAACAAAAAUCGAAGAAAAUGAAGAGCGAGAGAUCCUAGAGGAUGGAGGCUCAGAUUCACCUUUAAUCAGACAAGAAAAGGAACAAAGUGACCAUUGCUGCAGAAAUGGAGCUCUAUUUGAGAAAAGAAAAAAGCCAUUCUAGAAUAAAGUCUCCAUACUGCCCCGCCAACGAUCAAACUAUUCCUUAACGUCUUUCUUUUGCACUCUAAAACCCAAAAAUCGUCACAGCCU
rnacentral:lncRNA from 1 species